rnacentral:lncRNA from 1 species
CCACGUGAGACGUGCCUUUCACUUUCUGCCAUGAUUGUGAGGCCUCCCCAGCCACGUGGAACUGUGAGUCCAUUAAAUCUCUUUCUUUUGUAAAUCGCCUAGUCUUGGGUGUGUCAGGUAUGUCUUUUAUUUUUAUUUAUUUAUUUUGAGACAGAGUCUCACUCUGUUGCCCGGGCUGGAGUGCAGUGGUGCUAUUUUGCCUCACUGCCGCCCCUGCCUCCCUGGUUCAAGCGAUUCUCCUGCCUUGGCGUCCCAAGUAGCUGGGAUUACAGGCGCUUGCCACCACGCCUGGCUAAUUUUUGCAUUUUUAGUAGAGACAGGGUUUCGCCAUGUUGGCCAGGCUGGUCUCAAACUCCUGACCUCAGGUGAUCUGCCUGCCUCAACCUCCCAAGAUGCUGGCAUAACAGGCGUGAGCCACUGUGACCGGCCUGGGGUAUGUGUUUCUCAGCAGUGUGAAAGUGGAUUAAUACAAGUGCCCUGCCUGUCUUGAGAGACAGUAGAAAGACACUGUCCUGGGAGUCCAAGGCAGGGCCUGUCCCCAUAGGGAGCACAGGGUGAGCAGGACAGAACCAAUCUUCAGGGGGAACUUUCCAGAGCCGUGGAUUGUUGGACUGACCGCUCCCUUGACUGAAGGAAGGUUCGAAGAAGGCCCUCCAGCCCGAGAAUCCAGUCCCAGACUCUGUAGAAGUCUUGGGAGGAGACUGGGAGAUUUCCUCAUGCUGCAAAUUCUGGCCCAAACAAUCCAGUCCCUGAGGAGGGUGUGUUGGUGUACCAGAAACUGAUGGAACAGCACCCGGCACCAUGCCAGACCCUCCUGUGCCAAGAGGUUCCAGGAAAAUGAGCAUAUCCUAGGAUUGGGAGGAAGUAAGGCAGCAACUGGGGACUUUUUCCUAAUGAGUCCAAUAAAUCCUUGGAAAAAUAAUCCACCGAGGGUCAAAUAUACAUAGAAAACAACUUUGAAGGCUUUUGGAGGCUUUUUUCCCUAAAAAGAGAGAAAAGUAAAAAAUAUUCCAGGCAUUGGCUUUCAAAAACAAACAAACAAACAAAGAACAAAACAAAACAAAAAAACCAAAAAACAAACAAAACCAAGAACAACCCUGGGAAUAUAAAAUUCUUCAAGAUAUGCAAGAAACAUAUAAACUUCAGGCCAGGUGCUUUGACAUGCGCUUGUAGUCCCAGCUACUCAAGACGAUUGUUUGAGCCCAGGAGUUUGAGGCUGUAGUGUGCUAUGAUCACACAUAUG